CUUCGAUGGAGCCUGAGUGGACAGAUCUCCAGAGAGGAUCCGCUAUCAUGCAACUGUGGCAAGUCAGCAGCAAUCUGGUCUUUGAGGAUUCUUUUAAAUGGUCUGCAGACACAGUUCCUUUGAGA
ensembl:miRNA Mir6342 microRNA 6342